rnacentral:rRNA from 1 species
CAUGGCUCAGGAUGAACGCUGACAGAAUGCUUAACACAUGCAAGUCAUUGGCGAAGCUGCGUUUGCGCAGUCUAGCCAAGGCGGACGGGUGAGUAACGCGUAAGGAACUUGCCCUGCAGACAGGGAUAACAGACGGAAACGACUGAUAACACCUGGUAUUGUCAGGCUGGCGCAUGCCGGCCUGAUGAAAGGAGACGCUGCAGGAGAGCCUUGCGUCCUAUUAGCUAGUUGGUGGGGUAACGGCCCACCAAGGCGAUGAUAGGUAGCCGGCCUGAGAGGGUGAACGGCCACAAGGGGACUGAGAUACGGCCCUUACUCCUACGG